CCGCCCCGCCUGGCGCCGCACCACGUGGGGCCGGCGCGCCCGGCAGCCGAGGAUCGGAGGCCGGACUGUGCAUCACGCCGCGGGCCCCUCUUCCAGAAGGGGAGGGAAGGGGAAGGGGGCAGCGGCGGGGAGCGCCGGGCGCUCGGGGCGCCCUGGGCCUGCCGGGGUGCUCGGCGGCGCUCCCUCUGCUGGCGCGUCCGGGCCCCGGGCCCAGCCCCCAGCUCCCUGCCCCCGCUGCCCGCUGCGCGAGGAGGCGGGCCCUCAGAAGCCGCCCCCGCCACCUCCCUCCCAGGCCUGCGUCGAGCCCCGACGUCUUGCCCACAGGCCAGAGGCGCCGGGGUCAACUGCCCGCCAGCCUGCGGCCCAGGGCGGUGGUCGGCUCCCCGCCCGCAAGGCCGGCGCGAAGUGGAGGAGCCUCCCGCGCGCCAGUCUGCACGCCGCGCACGUCCAGGGUAGGAUGUUCGGGGCUUCCUGUGGUUGGCGCCAGUCCUGAGCAAUCGCUGCUUCCGACGGGCACCUCUUCAGGUGCCUCCCGGCCUCCAGGCACAGGGCCCAGCCCAGGCUACCCCUCUGUGCCUUGUCACCAGCUCCAAGGCCUCCUGAAGAAUAAACCCACAGCAUCUGGGUGUGCCUGCCAGCUGCCAGUGGGAGCCCCGUGCUGUGGCCGUUCUUCUGUGGGGAGGGACGAUGCUCAACCCAAGGAGAUGGGCCCCCGCGCUCAGUGUCUGCCCGGUGAGAUGCGUGCACAGGUGUGUCGGGACAGCUGCGGUCUCUGCUCCGCCUCCGCUCACCACCCCCCAACCCUGGGUCCCCGAGCCUCCGGCUGUGCCCGUCCAUCUCUCUCCAGCCAGCAGGCUUGGAGCUGGCUCCAUCCACGGCCGUUAGGUCUCCGAUGGUGGGAAGAGGGUGAUUCUGCUGCCAAAGCCGCCUUCAGGCAGGGUCCCUGGGGUAGAGGGAGCCCCAGGGGGUCUGGCCAGGGCCGGCAGCAUCUCUCCUGGAGUAACUGGGCGCCGAGGAGGCAUUGGGAUCUGCCUGCCUCUGGACGGCCCCUCCCAUCAGCUGGUAAAUCUACCCCCUGUCCCUGCAGAAGGGCUCUGCUUGCCACUGGACUCCUGGAUCUCCGGACCCCAGCCCUAUUCUGGGCCCUCGCCCCUGGGACCCCAGAGAUGGGACUGGAGGGACUUCCUCAAUCCACCUGCAGGAGGGGACCAGUUGAAACUGACUUCAGAAAAACAGCUUUCUGAGCCCAAACAGGCUGCCAAGAGCUAUGCUUUUCCCUCCAAGCUUGACUUUCUGAUUUAAUGAGGCUUCUUGUCCAAGUUGGGCUUCCCUUGAGGCUCAGCUGAUAAAGAAUCUGCCUGCAAUGCGGGAGACCUGGGAUCACUCCCUGGGUUGGGAAGAUCCCCUGGAGAAGGAAAAGGCUACCCACUCCAGUAUUCUGGCCUGGACAGUUCUGUGGACUGUAUAGUCCAUGGGGUCACAGAAUCAGACACGACUGAGCGACUUUCACUCACUCACUUGUCCAAUUCAGCUCAGUCGCUCAAAAUGCUAUCAACACCAACAGUGGAGGCUCGGGCGGCGGUGGCGGGGGGGUGGGGGGGGGGCGGUCCAGAAGUUGCUGAUCAAGCGUAUCUGGGAGAGCCUCUGUUCAGAGGCAGCCCCUCUCCUCAUGGAGUCCACAUGAUGGGUGGUGAAGAUGGAAUUAAACAAGCCAGAAAAAACUGGUCAUUUGACCACAUAACUAUUGGUAACACACCAAACACUAGGAACAAGACAUAAAAAACCCUGAAUGAGCAUUUGUAACACACAUAGAAGAG
ensembl:lncRNA